rnacentral:rRNA from 1 species
GACGAACGCUGGCGGCGUGCUUAACACAUGCAAGUCGAACGGAAAGUCCCGGCUUACUGGGGACUCGAGUGGCGAACGGUUGAGUAACACGUGGGUGAUCUGCCCUGCACUGCGGGAUAAGCCUGGAAAACGGGUGCUAAUUCCGGAUAGAAGCCAUUUUGAGUUUGAUGGGUGGAAAGUUGUAUCGGUGUCUGAUUAGCGUGCGGCCUAUCAGCUUGUUGGAGGGGUAAUUGCCUACCGAGGCUGCUACGCGUAGCCGGACUGGGAAGGUGGCCGGCCACAUUGAGACUGAGACAGGGCCCCGACUCAGACGGGUGGGAGAAGCGGGGAAGAUUGAAAAAUGGGAGUAAGCCUGAUGCAGAGCCGGCGCGGGCGGGAUGACGGCGUUGGGCUUGUAGAUUUAUUUCGCUAGGGCCGAAGAUUUUUGUGACGGUACCUAGAGAAGAAGCACCGGCUAACUACGUG